rnacentral:lncRNA from 1 species
AGCCAUACUCAUACCGGAAUGUGAAACCGACUGCUGGAGUUCCCGUAGGUGCGGCACUACUCCAUCUUUCUCUAUAGUGUUGAUUAUGCCACAUCUUGUAAGACGCAAGCAAUUCUCGAACACUACCCAUAUGUCGCCUAGAAAGGUUGAAACCGAUUUCUCGCGUGAUUAACAAGCUCGAUAUCCACAUGGAUUGUAUAAUUAAGAUUUACAAACUCAGUUCUGUGAAUCACAAAAGCUUUCUUGAACUUAAUAAAUUUAUUAUAUCAAUUCGAGGUCAUACCAUUGAUUGUAAUCGCAGCAACUCGGGGAAAGGCAGCAGGAACGGUUGAUGAGCCAGCAGAUCCAAGCCCGACAAUG